rnacentral:rRNA from 1 species
GUGGGGAAUCUUAGACAAUGGGGGAAACCCUGAUCUAGCCAUGCCGCGUGAUCGAUGAAGGCCUUAGGGUUGUAAAGAUCUUUCAGGUGGGAAGAUAAUGACUGUACCACCAGAAGAAGCCCCGGCUAACUCCGUGCCAGCAGCCGCGGUAAUACGGAGGGGGCUAGCGUUGUUCGGAAUUACUGGGCGUAAAGCGCACGUAGGCGGAACAGAAAGUCAGAGGUGAAAUCCCAGGGCUCAACCUUGGAACUGCCUUUGAAACUCCUGGUCUUGAGGUCGAGAGAGGUGAGUGGAAUUCCGAGUGUAGAGGUGAAAUUCGUAGAUAUUCGGAGGAACACCAGUGGCGAAGGCGGCUCACUGGCUCGAUACUGACGCUGAGGUGCGAAAGCGUGGGGAGCAAACAGGAUUAGAAACCCCUGUAGUCC